rnacentral:rRNA from 1 species
UACGAAGGGGGCUAGCGUUGCUCGGAAUCACUGGGCGUAAAGGGUGCGUAGGCGGGUCUUUAAGUCAGGGGUGAAAUCCCAGAGCUCAACUCUGGAACUGCCUUUGAUACUGGGUAUCUCGAGUAUGGAAGAGGUGAGUGGAAUUCCGAGUGUAGAGGUGAAAUUCGUAGAUAUUCGGAGGAACACCAGUGGCGAAGGCGGCUCACUGGUCCGAUUAC